AGUGCUACGUGGGCAUCUUGUAUUUACGUUCAUAAUAGUGCUCGUUUUGCAGUUGACAGACUAAGAUUAAUAUUCUAAGUGUCUGAUAACAUUAUGGAAAGGAUUGCUAAGGAGGCUGACCUUUCUG